rnacentral:rRNA from 1 species
AUUGAACGCUGGCGGCAGGCUUAACACAUGCAAGUCGAGCGGGGAAGGGUAGCUUGCUACCUAACCUAGCGGCGGACGGGUGAGUAAUGCUUAGGAAUCUGCCAUUUAGUGGGGGACAACAUUCCGAAAGGAAUGCUAAUACCGCAUACGUCCUACGGGAGAAAGCAGGGGAUCUUCGGACCUUGCGCUAAAUGAUGAGCCUAAGUCGGAUUAGCUAGUUGGUGGGGUAAAGGCCUACCAAGGCGACGAUCUGUAGCGGGUCUGAGAGGAUGGUCCGCCACACUGGGACUGAGACACGGACCAGACUCCUACGGGAGGAAGCAGUGGGGAAUAUUGGACAAUGGGCGGAAGCCUGAUCCAGCCAUGCCGCGUGUGUGAAGAAGGCCUUAUGGUUGUAAAGCACUUUAAGCGAGGAGGAGGCUACUUAGAUUAAUACUCUAGGAUAGUGGACGUUACUCGCAGAAUAGGCACCGGCUAACUCUGUGCCAGCCGCCGCGGUAA